rnacentral:tRNA from 1 species
UCUCCUAUAGCUCAGAUGGGUAGAGCGUGCGGCUGUUAUUCUCAAGGUCGCUGGGUUCAAACCCCAGCUGGGAGAG